GGCCAGACUCCUACGGGAGGCAGCAGUGGGGGAUACUGCACAAUGGGGGAAACCCUGAUGCAGCGACGCCGCGUGGGCGAAGAAGUAUUUCGGUAUGUAAAGCCCUCUCAGCAGGGAAGAAGAAAUGACGGUACCUGAGUAAGAAGCACCGGCUAAAUACGUGCCAGCAGCCGCGGUAAUACGUAUGGUGCAAGCGUUAUCCGGAUUUACUGGGUGUAAAGGGAGCGCAGGCGGCACGGCAAGCCUGAUGUGAAAGGCCGGGGCCCAACCCCGGGACUGCAUUGGAAACUGCGAGGCUGGAGUGUCGGAGAGGCAGGCGGAAUUCCUAGUGUAGCGGUGAAAUGCGUAGAUAUUAGGAGGAACACCAGUGGCGAAGGCGGCCUGCUGGACGAUGACUGACGCUGAGGCUCGAAAGCGUGGGGAGCAAACAGGAUUAGAUACCCGAGUACA
rnacentral:rRNA from 1 species